rnacentral:rRNA from 1 species
UACGUAGGGGGCAAACGUUGUCCGGAAUGACUGGGCGUAAAGGGCGAGUAGGUGGUAUAACAAGUCAGAAGUGAAAACUCCGGGCUCAACUUGGAGACUGCUUCUGAAACUGGUACACUUGAGUGCAGGAGAGGGAAGUGGAAUUCCUAGUGUAGCGGUGAAAUGCGUAGAUAUUAGGAGGAACACCAGUGGCGAAGGCGGCUUCCUGGACUAGACCUGACGCUGAGGCGCGAAAGCUAGGGGAGCGAACAGGAUUAGAUACCCGCGUAGUCC